rnacentral:misc_RNA from 1 species
GUAGGUGAACCUGCGGAAGGAUCAUUAAUAAAUGGCUCGAUUUUUAGAGCAUUAAUAAUCAUCCUACCCUUUGUGAAUUUGUUGUUUGAAAUAAUUUUUUUUAAAAUUAUUGAUGUCUUCCCCUGUUGAAUUGGUUGGUCGUAAGACUAAGUGAUUCUCAGGGGAUAGUCAAUAAUUUUUAAAAAGACCUUUUUUUAAAUUAAACUUUUUGUAUUCAUUUGUCUAAAAUUAUUUUUUAUAAUAUAAAAAC